UACGAAGGGAGCUAGCGUUGUUCGGAAUCACUGGGCGUAAAGCGCACGUAGGCGGAUGUGUCAGUCAGGGGUGAAAUCCCGGAGCUCAACUUCGGAACUGCCUCUGAUACAGCACGUCUUGAGUCCGAUAGAGGUGGGUGGAAUUCCUAGUGUAGAGGUGAAAUUCGUAGAUAUUAGGAAGAACACCGGUGGCGAAGGCGGCCCACUGGUCCGGUACUGACGCUGAGGUGCGAAAGCGUGGGGAGCAAACAGG
rnacentral:rRNA from 1 species